CCUACGGGCGGCUGCAGUGGGGAAUAUUGGACAAUGGGGGCAACCCUGAUCCAGCCAUGCCGCGUGUGUGAAGAAGGCCCUCGGGUUGUAAAGCACUUUCAGUGAGGAAGAACGCCUGGUGGUUAAUACCCAUCAGGAAAGACAUCACUCACAGAAGAAGCACCGGCUAACUCCGUGCCAGCAGCCGCGGUAAUACGGAGGGUGCGAGCGUUAAUCGGAAUUACUGGGCGUAAAGCGCGCGUAGGUGGCUUGAUAAGCCGGUUGUGAAAGCCCCGGGCUCAACCUGGGAACGGCAUCCGGAACUGGCAAGCUAGAGUGCAGGAGAGGAAGGUAGAAUUCCCGGUGUAGCGGUGAAAUGCGUAGAGAUCGGGAGGAAUACCAGUGGCGAAGGCGGCCUUCUGGACUGACACUGACACUGAGGUGCGAAAGCGUGGGUAGCAAACAGGAUUAGAUACCCCGGUAGUC
rnacentral:rRNA from 1 species